rnacentral:misc_RNA from 1 species
CAUGCGUCCGGGGCCGAACGCCACCGCGCUGUUAACCUUUCCUUAAGGAUAAAGUAGCGGGCACGGCGGGAUUUUGCGAAGCCUAGGGACGAGCCAGCCGGCACUGCGGAUCGCAUGACACCGGUGUGUGCAUCGAAUUGUUCUCGUGCGUUGUGAGUCCCGACGGAUGUCGCCUGAAGCCCUCAAUUCCUUCUUCGCCAUUUUCAUUGGAUUUGCGCUUGCGGGGGCGCUGACCAGCGGCUUUCAGGCUUUCA